rnacentral:rRNA from 1 species
UACGUAGGGGGCGAGCGUUGUCCGGAUUUAUUGGGCGUAAAGAGCGUGUAGGCGGCUGGGUAGGUCCGUUGUGAAAACUCGAGGCUCAACCUCGAGACGCCGAUGGAAACCCUCCAGCUAGAGUCCGGAAGAGGAGAGUGGAAUUCCUGGUGUAGCGGUGAAAUGCGCAGAUAUCAGGAAGAACACCAACGGCGAAGGCAGCUCGCUGGGACGGUACUGACGCUGAGACGCGAAAGCGUGGGGAGCGAACAGG